rnacentral:rRNA from 1 species
UACGGAGGGUGCAAGCGUUGUCCGGAUUUAUUGGGUUUAAAGGGUGCGUAGGCGGCCUAUUAAGUCAGUGGUGAAAGGUAUCAGCUUAACUGAUGACGUGCCAUUGAAACUGAUAGGCUUGAGUACAGACGAGGUAGGCGGAAUUUAUGGUGUAGCGGUGAAAUGCAUAGAUACCAUAAAGAACACCGAUAGCGAAGGCAGCUUACUAGGCUGAGACUGACGCUGAGGCACGAAAGCGUGGGGAGCGAACAGG